rnacentral:lncRNA from 1 species
AGUGGCAUGACUAGAAGAAAGCUUUUACAGUUUUGUCAUAAAAUGUUUAAUAUAGUGUUAUAAAUAAUAAUUACGUUUAUAUAUUAAUAUAUUUUCUUCUAAAAAGUGUGGAGAAAGGAAGUGGUGGGCUAGUGGAUUGUGUAUGUGAGAGGGAAAAUGAUUGGAACCUUUUUGGUAUCAUUUGAAGUAAUUUGUGGCGAAAUCUAAACCUACGUUUACCUCAUUACGAUCAAUGACUUCUGAUUAGAUAUUAGAUUUUCUACCUUUUAUAUAUAUUUUCUUUGUCAUGUUAGGAUAUACAUAUCCAUUGUAUACGUAGAGACAGCUAUGAUAUCCACGAGUUAUCCGUAUAUUAUCAAAACAACACUGUAUUUAAACAUUAAUUAUGAGUUUAUGACUACACUUUUACAAAACGUCCAAUUACUCUUUCUUUUUGAAAUAUGGUUCAAAACAUCCAACUCCUUUUGUUUUUUCUUAGCGGUGUUCUAUAAAAUUUUCAUUUAGUUUGUCAGUUUCGUACAUC